AUCCCCCACGGGAGUGUAACAAAUGGAUUGAGACCUAUGAUCAGCCUUACCGUGUGAGUGAAUUGCAGUGCUUUUGCCUUAUUGUUACACAUUGAUUCAUUGCUGUGGAUUUGUGGUGAACACGAGUGUGGUGUGCUUUUGCUGAGAAGUAGUCCCAACCCCUGCUUACACGUUUGUGAAAAGUUAUGAUACCUGCUCUCCAUUAGAAUCCCAGAGUGAUACAGCUGAGCGGGUGAGGUAUCUUGCGCUAUCCUCUCUUGGGUUGUCUGAGCUCUGAGUACUAUAUUGCCGCGCUGAGAUUUCCUCUUUAAACCACUCUCUCUGUUUGCAAACCCUAGGAAGGAACAUAUUGCUGUGGGAACGCCCUUACCUGUCUACUUACCGUCUGAGUCCUGGAAGUAUGCAGCAUUGCUGGUGAAGUAAGCUUUUAAGCCACUGGCUCACUUACGUUCACCGACACCAGUAUUCUGUAUUGAGAAGAUUUCUUACCUCCCUACUUACUGUGUGAGUCUGGAAGUACGCAGCAUCGCUGAAGUAAGCUUUUAAAUCACUCUUUCUCUAAUGUGCCCCGACAAAAGUAUUCUGUACUGCGAGGGAUCCUUACCUGUCUACUCACCGUCAGAGUCCCGAAGGAUGCAGUAUUUCUGGUGAGGAAUCUUCUUGUGUUAUCCCCUCUUGGGCUGUCUGAGCUCUGAGUAAUAUACUGCUUUGCUGAAAUCUCCUCUUAAACCACUCUCUCUGUUUGCAAGCCCUAGGAAGGAACAUAUUGCUGUGGGGAAAUUCUUGCCUUCUUACUUACCGUCUGAGUCUGGAAGUAUGCAGCAUUGCUGAGGAAGCAAGCUUUUAAAUCACUCUUUCUCUAAUGUGUCCCGACGAAAGUAUUCUGUACUGCGAAGAAUCCUGACCUGUCUACUCACCGACGGAGUCCUGAAGAAUGCAGCAUUGCUGACUCACUGCCCGAGUCUUGAAGAGAGCCGCCCUAUUGGUGAAGUCGCCGUCAGGGCGAAACUGCGACGUACGAUCAGUACCUAUCCGUAGCUGAAGAAGACCUAGAGGACACUGAAGUCUAUCACGCUUGUGCUCACUGAUAUAUUGUGCUCAAUAAAGAUUGUUAUUCCUUUGAAGUUACCUCUUGUCUGCGUUGUCCAUCUGUUGCGGACCUGUGGUGUCGGCUCCUCACGGUGGGGUCUAAGUAAGGGGUGGCUGGUCAUCCGAGUCCAUAG
rnacentral:lncRNA from 1 species